AAGCGCCGUUUUCCUGGAUACGAGCAGGAUCAUCACAGAAACACGCAUGUCUUAGUGGCGUUCUAUUUUCUUUCUGCUGUCAUAUUUAAUGCAAAGCACCAGAUACUGAGCACUUCAAGAGGCCGGAACGCCUGGUAUCCCGUGCAGUGGAGGACCCAGGAGAGAAUGGGACAGGGUCUCAGUCCGAGUCCCCACAGAGGCAAGAUUCAACAGACUUGAGUACUCUGCCAGAAGUUCUUGUAGCUCAUCAGGUUAAGGAGCCGCCCUUGUCUCUGGGAGAAUGUGAACUUCCAUAUGCCACAGAUGUCGCUGUAAAAAGAAAAAGCAAAAUGAGUACUCUGCCAAACUGUUAUAAAAGUUUCUAAUGUUUAGGUUUCUGGAUUUAUCGUGGACUGGUAACAAUGGGACUGUCACCGAUCCAGGCCCACACUAAGGAACACUACUUCAUGUAUCAAACUAUGGAACAUACUUUACUUCAUAGCCUCUUUCAAAGUUUUCUUUUUGACUAGUACUGUUCUCUGAAAGAUGUAAGACAGAACAUUUAUACUGGCUUUUGAAUAUCCUAGAGCUUUUGAUUAAUUUGAUAUUAGUUUAGAAUUAGAUAACUCAUACCAAUAAAAUUAGAUUGAAAGAAUAAAUGUGAUUAUUAAAGAUUUGAUUUCUAAAUCA